GGGACGAACGCUGGCGGCGUGCUUAACACAUGCAAGUCGAGCGGAAAGGCCCUUCGGGGUACUCGAGCGGCGAACGGGUGAGUAACACGUGAGCAACCUGCCCUUAGCUCUGGGAUAGCUCCGGGAAACCGGAAUUAAUACCGGAUACGACCUAGGCCGACAUCGGCCAUGGUGGAAAGUUUUUCGGCUAGGGAUGGACUCGCGGCCUAUCAGCUAGUUGGUGGGGUAAAGGCCUACCAAGGCGACGACGGGUAG
rnacentral:rRNA from 1 species